AAAUUCUUUCAUUUAAUUCUCUCAAAUAUCCAUUGGUUUUUUGCCACUUAUACUUUUUGCAUGUGUAGCUUGAUACCUUCCACUCAUAGCUUAUUUAUACAGUUUCACAAUAACUGCCUUGCUUCCUUUCAGUCUCCAGAAAAUUCUCUUUAUCUCCAAACCAUUUUUAUCUUGUUUCUUACUUGGUCCCUUACCUUUCUCUUGUAAACUAUUUCUUUUAGCAUGAAUGUGGUGUUACCUAACCUUGCAAAGCCUCCCUUCAUUAGAAACUUUUUUUUUUUUUAACUCUCACAACCACCAUCUAGUGUCCAGUUGGAUUUUUUUGUUCUAUUCAAACUAGUCUGUUCUUGGGUCCCCUUUCUACCAUUUUUUUUGGGUCAUGAAUUAUGUUUUAUGCUGUAUUCAAUGUCUAAAAUACUGACAUUUUCACCUCAUUAGUGUCUUUUCAUCUCAUUCAGAAAUCUGUAAUAUUCUUUGAAAAAAUAAUGUAUACUUGGUUGGUAACAAUGAUGUAUGACUGUUGACAUAUAAAAUUCCACCUCAAGGGAAGCUUUAGCUCCUUUAAUGAAAGGAUGAUUAUUAUAAUGACUAUAUGAAUCUUGCUGGGAUUUUAAUUUUUUCAGCUGGAUUUUGAUGUUCUGCCUCAUUCAUUCAUUCAUUUACUUAGGGCCCAUUUAUUGAACACACAUUGUACUCCCAUACUAUAUUAAACACUUGGGAUAAAAUCAUGAAUCAUAUGUGACCCUGUUCUUGCAAAGUACAUAAUCUGAGGAACAGAGGCAUGUAUAAAUUAUGGUAGAGUAUAUCUACUAUGAUGAAUGUUUUAAUGGAGGCCUGAGAGGACAUGAAGGGGGGAGCAAAAGAGUCAGUUAAGGAAAGGGAGGGUUUCUUUGAGGAAGUGACAUUGGACUUGACCCUUCUUGGCUGAGUGAGGUAAUAGGGAGAACCAGAGUGUUGGUAGAGAACAGCAUUGCAGAGGCAUGGAAGCAUGAGAAAGGAGGGUGUAUUGGGGGGAGGAUGAAACAAUAGGUGUGGUUAGAAUGUAGGGUAUGGUAGGAGCAGUAACAAGACAUAGUCAGGUGGUAGGUUAGACCAGAUUCGUGACCACUCUGAAUCAUAUCUUGACAGUUUCUGGAGGUUGUUUAAUGCUUUUGUUUGCAUGUGUGUUUGUGUUUUAGCAUAAUGAAAUGAUAUAAUUUGUUUUUGAGAUUGUAACCUUUACGUCAUUGUAGAGGGUAGAUUUGAGAAAAGACAACUGCAGAGAUGAUUUGGGAGGGUGUUCCAAAGAUCCAGGAGAGAGAUAAUGAGGGCUUGAAGUAGGCUGUGGCAGCAAGGAACGGAAAGGACAAACUUCUUACAGCAGAAUUCAGUAACUGAUUGAAUUCAAUGGCCAAGUAGGGAGAAGCAGCUGAUGAAACUAGGAGAAGUUGUUUGUAUGAAUGGCAGUACAAUGUACUGAGAUAGGAGGACAGGAAGAAAAACCAAUUUAGGGUGGGCAGAUAGCAUCUACUUGUUGACCUGUUGAGUUGGAAUUGGCUAGGAGGCAUCCAAGUAAAGCUGCCUGGAAGGCAUUUGGAAAUGCAAGAUGGGAGCCAAAAGAGGGGGUUUGCAUUAUAAAUAACGACUUGUCUUUUUAAUUUUAUUAUUAUUAUACCUUAACUUUUAGGGUACAUGUGCAUAACGUGCAAAAAAAAAAAAAAAGAAAAAAAAGAAAAAAAAUGAGACCCUAACUCGAAAAAUAAAUAAAGGUAAACUUAAAAAUAAAAGUAAAUAACACCCCCCCCCCAAAAAAAAGAAAGAAAUAACGACUCGUCAUGUCUUUAGGCUCCCAUGGCCCGAAGAGUGGUAGAUUUUUCUGCACUUAAAGAAAAUUCUUAAGGACUGUAUUGUUUAUGCCUGCAUUACUCUUAUUUCUCUCAGAUAUUUUCACAUUUCCUACAAAUCCUACAAAUUUUUCCAUGAACAUCUCUUCUGCAGCUACAGGUUUUGAUGCUGACUCUUUGUUUUUUAAUAAGAGUCUUUUUAUUUUAGGCCUUAACUUGAGACCUUUUAGAGAGAGAACAGUUUCAUGUUUCAUGCCAUUUUGAAGUUGUAGUUCUGAGGCUAAGCAUGUUUUUGUCUGUAUUGUAAAAGAGAGAAGCCAAGCAGAUUUCUUUUGGUUUAGAUGUUUCAGGCAGGUGAUUUCAUAGAUAUUGUGUCUUGAAAAUCUUCCCAUUCUUCUCUUUAUCUCAUUGGGUAAAUUGGAAACUUCUAAUUUACCCAAUGAGAUAAAUUUGGAUUUUCAAUUUGGAGUUAUAAAAAUUCAUGCUUCAGUUGCCAGCCACAGCAGCCAGUGAUGUAGUUAGCCAGUGUUACCUAAAAAGGCUUUGAGCAUUGAUCUGGUUUUUGGAUACGUGUAGUUUAUUUCUUAAUUGAGGAGACCAUAUUCUAUACAGUUUCAGUAUAGAAUCUAUAAAUUUUCUUAGUUGAUACAAUCUCUACCAUUUAUCCUAUAAAUAGAAUCUCCUGUGUAAUACAGUCUCUACCAUUUAUCCUAUAAAUUGACUCUCCUGUGUCCUACUAUCAAAUGUCUGUCAGGCCUCAUUUUUCAAAGAGCUUUUGAGUAUAGAGUCGGGGCAAUAUUAAAUACUUAAUAACCAGUGUAGUCAUAUGUAUGUGUAAGUGUGUGGGUUUAUUUAAAAAUAGACUGCUGUCUUAGUCUGUUCAGGCUACUAUAAUACACUACUUGUAGACUUGUUGGCUUACAAGCAACAGAAAUUUAUUUCUCACAGUUCUAGAAGCUGGGAAGUUCAAGAUCAAGGUGCUAGCAGAUUUGAGGUUUGAUGAGGGUCUACUCCCUGCUUCAUAGAAGGCUGGCUUCUCUGUGUUCUCAUGUGGUAGAAUGGGUGAGGGAACUCCUUGGGAUCCCUUUUAUAAGGACAGGCUAAUUGCCUACCAAAGGCCCCACCUCCUACUACCGUCACAUUGGAGGUUACAAUUUCAAUAUCUGAAUUUUGAGGGGACACAAGCGUUCAUUAUAUAGCUGCUGCCAUACAAAUAUUAUAUGAUUCCAUUCACCUAUAUAAGGUAUAUAAUAGGCAAAUUCGUUAGAGACAGAAAGUAGAAUAGAAGUUACCAGAGGCAGGGGGAUAGAGAGUUAUUGUUUGUUGGGUACUGAG
rnacentral:lncRNA from 10 species